GUCAAAUCAUCAUGCCCCUUAUGAUUUGGGCUACACACGUGCUACAAUGGCAGGUACAGUGGGCAGCAAUCCCGCGAGGGUGAGCUAAUCUCCAAAACCUGUCUCAGUUCGGAUUGUUCUCUGCAACUCGAGAGCAUGAAUGCGGAAUCGCUAGUAAUCGCGGAUCAGCAUGCCGCGGUGAAUACGUUCCCAGGCCUUGUACACACCGCCCGUCACACCAUGGGAGUGGGUUGCAAAAGAAGUGG
rnacentral:rRNA from 14 species